UUAUAUUUAAAAAAUAAUUUAAAAAAAUAUUAUUUUUUUAAGUUUUCAAAUGAUUUUAAUGGCUACAGCACAAACAAUAGCCACCGAAAAAAAGGCAAUGUCAGGAGACCCACCUAGAGUGCUGGCCAAGAACAGCAUCAGGGAACGGGAAAACAAGGAACCAGAAAAGCCGGCGACGAAGAAGAAACCUACCAACGAGAAACAACCGCCGCAAGAAACGGAGUCCAACAACAAGAACAAGAAGAAAUGCGGGAGUGGAAAAUUCGUAGUUUAGAGACAAAAGUCCAUGAAUGAUUCCUGCUCCUCUGACGCCUCGUCGGAACACUCGUCUCCCCUCAGCCGGGAGUCGUCAUCGUCCUUGUCGUGGUCCAGUGGGAGAAUGGCUGUAAGAAGGAUUGCGGUGGUGAAGGAAGAAGCAAUGUGGUGGUGGUGGUGAGAGUGAAGUACUUACUAGUGGGGGAUGAUAGUACUGAUAACAUUCAACUUCAAAGUGAAAAAUAGGUGUCCUGGGUUACAUCUACUACUGGGAAGUCAUUUUGGAUUUUGAUCCAAUUGCUAAUGAGAGAAAGAUAGCACUUCCAAAUGCUCAAACUUUCUUCCUACUGUCAGAGCUAAAGUUCCGAUCAAUCGUUGAAAAUGCUCAUCAAAUGUGCAAGGUGGAGACAUGAGCUUUUCUAUUCAUUUCUUGCGUGUUUGAUUAAUUCAUGUUGCAAGCCUAAUAUUCGACUCCCCUUUUUUUUUUGUGACUUUUGUUAAUAACUCAUGGUAAAGAGAGCUCUGGGCUCUGUAUAAUACUGUUGAAGAUUGUCCCAACCCAUGACCUCCAAACUGCUGUAAACUCGCAGCUUGUUGUUGAUGCUGCAGUUCAUAGAUGAGUUUGGCUCUUUUAUUAAACACACCUCGAACUUUGUCAUCCAUAAGCCAAUUCCGAUAUUCCCACCAAGUUCCAGUCAAGACUCCAAAAGCAGAGCUCAUAAGGAAGGACAUGGCAACAAGAGGGUUUUGAAGUGUUAGUCCAACAGCUAUAUACUAAUUCAUGCAAGCGGCUGGACCAUCUCAUAAGUUGCUUCAGAUUCCAAGUGGACCACCAAGGGAGAAGCAAGGGUAAAGGAUGGCUAUCUUGAGGCGAAGACCAAAGUGAAAGAAAUUGAGGAUUCAAUGAAUGCUGUAUUAUCUGGUGGUGCAAGUAAAUUUACAUGUUGAAUCGACCUGGAUGUAGUGACUUUUCCUUGUGGAAUGGGAAACUGAAUGGAUGGGAUGUUAGAAUAAUCUGUGUGAUAAUGUCUUCGCUUCCACGUCUCAAAUGGUAGGAUUCAAUUUUAUUCAUGGAAUGUCCAUCUUGGUCCAACUAAUUUUCUGUGAUUGAAAGAGACUGCCGUGCUACUUUAGAUUUUUGAAGUCGUAAUCAAGUUCUGCUCACGUAAAAUGAUUCAGUGAAUGCAGUUAUUGCGACAAAAAAUUCACUCACGGUUACAUGAACAUUUAAUGUCGGUAUUUCAAGUUCUAUGUUCCUUUCCUUUUCAAGGUUGAGAAUAGAUUCUUGAAUUAUUGUAGUCAAAUAAGCUUUCCGACA